rnacentral:rRNA from 1 species
GACGAACGCUGGCGGCGUGCUUAACACAUGCAAGUCGAACGGAAAGGCCUGCUUUCCCUUGUGGAUUGCGGGUACUCGAGUGGCGAACGGGUGAGUAACACGUGAGUGAUAUGCCCCCAACACUGGAAUAAGCCUGGGCAACUGGGUCUAAUUCCCGCCAGGACCGCAGGGUGGGGCGUGUGGUGGAAAACGAUGUUCUAGUGGUUGGGGAUGAGCUGGUGGCCUUUCAGCUUGUUGCUGGGGUAAUGUCUUACGAAGGCUGCGUCGGGUAGGCGGCCUGGGAGGGCGGGCGGGCACAGUGGAACUGACAUACUGCCCAGGCUCCUCCGGCAGGAAUCAGUGGGGAAGAUUGCGCGAGGGACGGAGGCCUGAGGCAGCGACGCCGCGUGGGGGAUGACGGGCUUCGGGUUGUGAACUCCUUUCGGCCGCGCGGAUGCCACCUGGUUGGAGGGGUGGUGACGGUAGUGGUAGAAGAAGCACCGGCUAACUACGUG